rnacentral:rRNA from 1 species
UACAGAGGGUGCGAGCGUUAAUCGGAAUUACUGGGCGUAAAGCGUGCGUAGGCGGUUAUUUAAGUCGGGUGUGAAAGCCCCGGGCUCAACCUGGGAAUUGCAUUCGAGACUGAAUAGCUAGGGUACGGUAGAGGGAAGCGGAAUUUCCGGUGUAGCGGUGAAAUGCGUAGAUAUCGGAAGGAACACCAGUGGCGAAAGCGGCUUCCUGGACCAGUACCGACGUUCAGGCACGAAAGCGUGGGGAGCAAACAGG